UUAGAAAAGCUUCAUUUCUCCAACUGGACACUUAUGUAUCUUUCUGCUGGAAGGAGAGACAUGGCCUGCUGGGAGGACACAGGAGCCCACACCAGGCAACUGACUUCAGCUGUAAUAGAGUGCAAACCAGACAGCAAGAUUCCUGACCAGUACCUCCACACAGCUAAAGACAACUGGUGGAAUUGAAUCUUCAGGAGUCAUGUCCUGGUCAGCCCUAUGAUCACCAUCACCUGUGGACAUCACUGCUCUUCGACCUAAGAUAUUUCCAAGAGUAGAGAUUUUGCACCUGCUCAGCCACUUCUAUCGUCAUAUCCAAAGACACUGAUGGGGGACAGGAGGAGGAGCUUCAAACCAGAUUGGUACAAAAUUCUCAUGUUCUCAGGUUCAGAUGACUGCUUAUGUUAAUUUUGGGAUGUUGUGGAAAAGUGCCUAGAUGUGCAUAGAUGCUUAAUUGUUAUAAUUGUUUUUGACUACAAAAUUCAUUGUCAAAUAAAUGAACAUGAAACAUCAUUUGAGUUGAACUUAUUUUAUUAGCUUAUUUGCUUAUAAAACAGAGUGAUAUAUGACAGUGAAAAGUGACUGAAAAAUAAUCCUGAAAAUAAAUGUUAGUGUGCCCCCUAAAAGCACAAGUGGCCCCUGCCUGGCCCCCCUAGUUAGUGUACUCUAGAACCGCCACUGGUUCUAUGUAGAACCCUUGGGGAGCAAAGAACAUUUUUUAUUAAAAUGGUUCUAUAAUUCAUGUUUUAUGACUGAAGUGUAAAUUAAUUAUAGGCCUACACAACACAUUCACAAAGCUUUUUGAGUCAAGACCAAGGACAAUGACUGCUGUAGUCAAAAACAAGAGUCAACAAAUAUUAAUAUCUAGUCAAUGUAUUUGAGCUUUUUUUUUUUAUGCAAGUUUGUACAUUAGAAUGAAACUUAUAUUUCCUAAUACAUUAUAGUUUGCCUUUUGACGAAUAAUUUUGUGAAAUAAAUAAACUAACCAGGUGUUGUCUUUAUUUUGUACCAUACUAUAUUGUGAUGGUUUAAAAACAAAUUAUAUUUAAAUUAAAAACAAAUAAUCGUAAAGAUGCCCUCUGGUGGCGACGUGGCGUAUAUGUGUUGCAUCAUCCUUGAAUUCCUAUUGGUGGAUUGGAGAAGAUGGUCCUCGAGUCAGUGACAGUUAAUUUUUCAAACUGAGGAGUCCGCCAUUUCUGCCCGUUCUCUCAGAUAACCAUGGUUGAUAAAUGGUCAGUAGAUGACACGUGCCACUGGCUUCAAAAUAUAAACCUUAUUGAUGCAAAAGAAAGUUUCAGAGAUACACAUGAAAAUGUAUAAAUGUUCAUUUUGUGAUGUGAAGUUUCAACUCAAAAAGUAUCUAACUCACCUGCAAGUGCAACAUAACCACCAAGCAGAUUUUAGUGUUACCUGUAAGACCAAGGGAUGUUUUUAGAAGAUUUACUUCAAAUGUUCUUUAAAGCAACUCAGGAUACCAUUGUUUCCAGUUUGGAGUUCAUCUUGAAAUUUUUCCAACAAAAUUAUUUUGAAAUCAUAAAAUUCCACUUGACCAAAUCUGGGUUUAGACUAGAGGACCAGGAAGGCUUGGAUAACUUGCUAAAUAAUCAGACACUUAUAGAAAGUGUGUUUGCCUAUAUUCAGUCAGACUAUCAACUUUUCAAAUAUUGCAAAGAACAUCUACAUUUAGUGGAGCCAGUUAAGCACAUUCUUGAAACCAAUAGCCAGGGGAAGGAGGACAUAUUUCACCUAUCAUAGAUGUUCUGAAGACUCAGUUGGAGAAACAGGACAUAUUUGAAUCAUAUCAAAGAACCUGUGAACAAGCCCCAGGUACAGAUUUUUUAAGCAGUUACACAGAUGAAUUCUUUCAUGAGAGCCCCUUUUAUGGAGAUCCUAAUAUUGUAAGAUUGCAUCUGUACACUGAUGAAUAUGAAACUGUUGUACACUGAAGGACUGCAGGUCAGUGUAAAUGGUCACAACAUCAAUUUGAAAUGUGCUCUUGCCACUAUUUCAGCUGACAACUUUUCCAAAGAGUACAGAUUAUGGAGAGACCUGCAGCUGAAGUAAUGGAGCAGUUUCCUUUUCUUGGAGUGCCACAGCUUAUGCUGCAUGAAAUGACAAUGAGGUUUGGAACAGACUUGGUGAAGAACAUGGAAACAUCUCUAAAUGAAAUGGCCCCAAACAUCAUCAGGAGUGCAAAGGAGGAAGUAAAAAAAAAACCAAAUAAAUCUCAUUGGACCAGAAGAGGUAACCACAGAAGGCCUUGUUAGGAAUGCUGCACUCAUUUUAUUGCCAGCACUAUUUAAAGAAAACGCCAGCUUCCUCUACUGUGUAGAUAGUGAACACAAAGGUCCUACACCAACCAUAGUGUUCAACGGCUCUCCUGAUCCUCUCAAGGCUGAAAGUGUCAGCAUUAUAAUGGACAACAUAACAUGACACAGGCUGUGGAAUGCAUGUUUGCAGUCUAUUUUCUUUUCAGUGUGCAAUACCCGGUUGCCAUUAAGCGCACAGUGACUUUUAUUCAAAAAUAUAUGCUUAAACUUAGAUGUCGCCAUGACACAAGAACACCAAUACCUGUACUAAAAAUGUACAGUCAGCUUGUGUAAAUUGUAGUGAUAUUUAAUAGAUGUUUUAAUUGUUCAUGUAUUGUUUUUAUCUGCAUUGUGAUUUGUUUUUCCUCAUUUCAGAGAUACAUGUAAAAGUAAAGUACUGUAUACAUACAUACAUACAUAAGCUUGUUUAUGUACUGUAUGUUUAUUAAAAAGUGAAAAUGCUCAAGUGAAAUUAAAUCUAAAUGGUUAAAUGUAAUUAAACAUUUGAAAUGUAAAAUAAUUUAAAGUUUUGCUGUCUAAUACAGAGUAAACAGAGGUGCAAUUUUAAACAUAACACUAAUAUUUUUGUAUAAUAAAUUGAAUGAACUUAAACUUUUAGAAUUUUCUGGAUUGGUUAUAUUUUCUUAUUCAGUGAUACAUAACUCUUAAUAAUAAAGAACCCUUAAAUGGUUCUAAAAAGCACCAUCUAACUUGGAUUCAAAGAACGAUUUGGGGUUCUUUUUAAUGAACCCAUUAAAAUGGUUCUAUGUAGAAUCAUUUUGGGGUUCCAUGUAUGAAGCGGGUGAUAGGACCAUUUCUGGUUCUAAAUAGAACCGUUUCUUUUAAGAGUGAGAUGCUUUUCCAUCAAACAUUCUAUGCCUGUGACUUUGUCCAUUGACUCUGUAAUUUCUCUUUGUUUCUACAUUCUGUAUAUUGUGCGUUUGUGUUUUGUACAAUAAACUCAUUACUGUAUCUCCAAA